AAGGAUCAUUAACGAGUAACUGAACAGGUUGUAGCUGGCCUUUCGGGGCAUGUGCACACCUGGCUCAUCCACUCUUCAACCUCUGUGCACUUGUUGUAGGUCGGUAGAAGAGCGAGCAUCUAAUGCUUGCUUGGAAGCCUUCCUAUGUUUUACUACAAACGCUUCAGUUUAAGAAUGUUUAGCUGCGUAUAACGCAUUUAUAUACAACUUUCAGCAACGGAUCUCUUGGCUCUCGCAUCGAUGAAGAACGCAGCGAAAUGCGAUAAGUAAUGUGAAUUGCAGAAUUCAGUGAAUCAUCGAAUCUUUGAACGCACCUUGCGCUCCCUGGUAUUCCGGGGAGCAUGCCUGUUUGAGUGUCAUGGUAUUCUCAACCUUCAUAACUUUUGUUAUCGAAGGCUUGGACUUGGAGGUUGUGCUGGCUUCUAGUUAAGUCGGCUCCUCUUAAAUGUAUUAGCGUGAGUGUAACGGAUCGCUUCGGUGUGAUAAUUAUCUGCGCCGUGGUCGUGAAGUAACAUAAGCUUGCGCUUCUAACCGUCCUUCAGUUGGACAAUUACUUUGACAUCUGACCUCAAAUCAGGUAGGACUACCCGCUGAACUUAA
rnacentral:rRNA from 1 species